rnacentral:rRNA from 1 species
CCAAGGGGGCUGCCUACACAUGCAGUCGAGCGAGCUCUUCGGAGCUAGCGGCGGACGGGUUAGUAACGCGUGGGAACGUGCCCUUCACUGCGGAAUAGCCACUGGAAACGGUGAGUAAUACCGCAUACGCCCUUCGGGGGAAAGAUUUAUCGGUGAAGGAUCGGCCCGCGUUAGAUUAGAUAGUUGGUGGGGUAACGGCCUACCAAGUCUACGAUCUAUAGCUGGUUUUAGAGGAUGAUCAGCAACACUGGGACUGAGACACGGCCCAGACUCCUACGGGAGGCAGCAGUGGGGAAUCUUGGACAAUGGGCGCAAGCCUGAUCCAGCCAUGCCGCGUGAGUGAUGAAGGCCUUAGGGUCGUAAAGCUCUUUCGCCAGAGAUGAUAAUGACAGUAUCUGGUAAAGAAACCCCGGCUAACUCCGUGCCAGCAGCCGCGGUAAUACGGAGGGGGUUAGCGUUGUUCGGAAUUACUGGGCGUAAAGCGCACGUAGGCGGAUCAGAAAGUUGGGGGUGAAAUCCCGGGGCUCAACCCCGGAACUGCCUCCAAAACUCCUGGUCUUGAGUUCGAGAGAGGUGAGUGGAAUUCCGAGUGUAGAGGUGAAAUUCGUAGAUAUUCGGAGGAACACCAGUGGCGAAGGCGGCUCACUGGCUCGAUACUGA